rnacentral:misc_RNA from 1 species
AACUGCAGCGGCUCGAAUCUUUUAAAACGAAAAAUAUGACCCUAUUUUCAUGUGCUUAUGUGAAAAAUAAAAUCAAACACAAGAGAUAAGCUGUAGCAAGUGUUGAAAGGCAGCAUUAUUGUGCCAAUGGUCUAAGCUUAGGUUAGGAAGAAGAAAUGAAAUCAUUGAUCUUGAUCAUCCUCCUCCAAUUCAUGAUAUGAUCUGAGACUCCAGCAUGGCGCAAAACACUGACAGAAGUGUGAGGCGUCAACAUGUCACACUCCAUGAGCAAAUCCAGGAGCGAACUAAGCAGCAUGCUAAGAAAAGUGAUUCUCUAUUACUGCAUCUCAAAGACCUUAGAGCAAGAAAACAGAAACUACUUGAGAAGGAGGCAUGUACAAGGCCUGACAGAGGUAUUAUCAGUGGAAGAAGGAAACCACAUGAUGUGAACAUAUUUAUCAACAAUGUGAAAGACAACAUUCAGGAGUAUGAGACCAACAUACAUAGUCUUAGGAAGUUGCAGCAAGCAAGAUGGAGAAGAUUACACAGACCUUAUAAUGGAGAAUUGGGGCCAUUGAGUUAUGAAUCAUGGCAGAUACCACACUAUUACCUUGUUCGAAGCAUAGUGAUGGAAACUGUUGAUUCAUUCCUUGACAUGUACUUCCAAGAUCCAGUCCCAGUUAGUGACACACAUACAUACAGGGCAGUGGCAGCAAUGCAACACAAUGAGAUUGAUAGACAGUGGAGUAGACUGAAUGUGUCUAAAGCUAUUCAGCUGAUUCUAGAACGAUUGAUUUUGGAGGAAACACAAGUCUUGUCAAUGGAGAUAGCAGGUGAAAUACUGGCCAUUCGUAAGCUGAUCUCAAGUCAGGUGGACAAUGUAAUCAUGCAACAAGCUGAGAUUGUGGCUACUAAGAAGCCCAAAGGCAGACCUGAUGGUCACCCAGCUUUCAACCUUGUGACAAAGACUUGGCUUAUGCUACAGAUGGACAGGAGAAAAUUCAAAUCUGAUAUCUGGCUCCAUUCUCAACCACUACAGAGUCCAAACUCUGAGGGCCUCAUUGAACCUGAAGAGGAGGAAGAUGUAGUGAUUCUAAAGUACAACCAACUUCCUGUCUCAGAUCCCCUGCAUGUACAUGUAUCAGACUUACAGACUCGCUACUCCAAAUGGCUCUCUGAGUAUUGGCAGGGAAUGACCACUAGUGUAAUGAGAGUACCAUUGGAAAGGAGGUGUCAUGGAGUACAAAUUGCUAAACUAUCACCAAACCAUAAAUAUAUUGCAAUAGGAACUGGACAUGGUGACAUAAUAGUGUAUGCAUUAUGGUUUGAGCCAUUCAUAGCAAUAAGAGGAGUUGCAAAUGUGCAGUCCCAGGACGUACCUGUGGUCAGUCUAGAUUGGAGUCUGGACAGCUGUCGCCUUGUCUCCAUCACUGAGGCUGGAUUAGUUCAGGUGUGGUCCAUGCAAGGGACACCAGCUGGUAAAUCACAAUUGAGGUCCCUAAAGCUGAAGACAGAUGGCACUGGUUUCUCACCAUUAUUACUCACAUUGCUCGCUCAACUUGAUGCCAACCAAUCAGAUCUCAUGUUUCAAUCAGGUCCAUUCGUGGAGAAUGAGGUUUUAUCAGAGAUCAGUGUUCCUACACAUGCAAUAUUCUGGUCCAGUCAAGUGUCUCUGGCUGGAGGGGAGACUGGUGUAGUGGUUGCCUUGGAGAGUGGAGACAUAAUGCAUCUACAUAUGCACAAGCAGUUGGCCUCUGCUCAGGAUGCAAGACCCCUGUACAGUGCCAGAAGCGGAGGUGGUGUUAACACAGUGGCCGAUGGAAUAGAAGCUGACCUACUUAGGAGCCAUAAAUACCCAAUAAUACAAAUGUCAACAUGUAACAAUAGGGCCUGGCUUGUUUCUGUUGAUGAGAGAGGAUUCAUCUGUAUUUGGCAGACUUCACCAGACACAGAAUCAAGCUAUGGAUGGCACAGGCCCUUGUCACGCUAUCGUAUAGAGAUGUUUGAGAGGAUGUAUGCUCCUAUACCAAAUUCAACAUCAACUUUACAUUUCUCUGACAAAAAACAGAUAGGAUCUCGGCAAGACAUGGCUCGGGAGCGAGCUAGAAUUGAGAUGACCAUAAAAGGAAUGGGGCUAGGGGCACCUUGGCAUAGUGAUUAUAAUGAUGAACAAUAUCUCAAUACAACUAUAUAUUCUCCACAUGAAGUAACACCUUCAGGGGGAGUAUUCCACAUCAUUGCACGGCAUGCAGACACAAAUCUUCUCUCUACUUAUGUCACAAGGCUUUAUAAACCAACCAAGUUGUACUGUAGCAAGAUCUCAAGUUGUCACAUGUCCCCAUCUGGUGAUACCUUGAUAUUCAUGUUGCUCUACCCUCAGUAUCCUCCUAAAGGAGCACAUGUGACAAUCCUUUGUGUUGAUAUACCAGAAGUGAAAGUGAGGCAGAUACGUAUUCAAGUUGAAAUGUCAGAGAUGCAGUACUCGCAAUGUUCAUAUGAGGAUGCCGCAUGGGCACAGAUUGGCAGAGUUCUUGGUGUUACUGGAUGUGAGUAUGUCUGGGUUAGUAUUUGUGGUGAAAUAUCUGCCUACUCCUUGAAUACGGGACAAAAUGUGCUGCAGACUAUGCCAACAGACAUAGACUACAUUGGAUGUUAUAUAGAACCUGCUUUGUUACAAUGUCCCACAAAUGCUCAUUUCACAGUAGCUGGUACUCUGAACAAAACUCUAGUCAUUUUAUAUGGAGAACAACAGGUUCACAGUAAAAACACCGGAAUAACAAUAUUGAAAGUUGAGGACUUUCACAGCUCUGAGGAGAGAAUGUUGAUGUAUAAAGCAUUCCAAACAUGGCAAGGUCCCAUUAAUGCAAGCUCUGAUGUACGUGUGGACAGUGUGGAGUAUAGCCUCGAGGGGACAUACCACACUUGGGUGGCCAUGAGGAGACUUGUGUUAGAGCACAUGGACAUAGCUCUACAAUCGAUCUUUGGUUCAUUCUCAGAGGAACAGACAGAGGAAAAUACAACCAAAGAUUCCCUUCAGAACUACUUAGCUCUUAUGGAAUGAGGUGCCUUAACCCCCC